GUUUUGCGUGAGGGGUAGUAGCGGCAUCCUUUUACAAAGCGAUAGCGGAGUAAAAGAUAUAGCGUAUAACCCGACCCCUU
rnacentral:sRNA from 1 species